UUCCAGCUUCAUAUGUUGCUUGAAAAUACAUUUCUUUCAUCAAACUACAUAUAUUUGUGUGAAUGGCCUUCAAAGAAGAAGAAGCCCUGUGUCUCCAGAUGUGUAAUAAUAACAUCCACCAGCAGAGGAGAUCAUGGACCGGAAGAGAAGAGAGAAAACAACACACACCAUGAGACAUGAUCAUACAAGAACUGUCCUUCAGAUAUUAUAUAUCAUCUCAAAACAGAGGAAUUUAAUAACCUUCACUAUGAGUUCAGUGAGGAAACUGAGCUGCUAUAUAACAAGUCUGCUGAUAUUUCCUCAUCAAACACAGAUCACUGAAUAAUACACUCAGAUUUUCACAGGAGCUUCGAGUGAUGAUGAUCAGAUCAAAUCUGAAUUAAAAUCAAAAAACAGGAUCAUCUGGUGAUCAAAGAACUCAUAAAAUAAUUUAGGUAUGUAUUUGAAAUGUAUUUUUAACAUUACAGAAAUAUUAAAUAGUUUUGUUUUCACAAAUCAGUUUUCAAGGCCUUGGACACUGUCAAAUAAUCUUAUUUUGUCUCUAGUUGGCGCUCAAACAGGGUCUUUAGAAGAGAUGUACUUUCUGUACUGUCACACAGUGACAUUAAACAUCAACUGUAAAUGGUGAUAUAUUAUUAUUCAAAAGAGUAAUUCUGCAGAAGUGAGUCAUAUUGAGUCAUCAGGAUUCAUUUCUCUCUUCAGUCAACACAGAUGAUCCUGAUCCUGAACAAGCUCUCAUUAUCUCUGUACUGCUUUGUCAAAUUGUCAUAUUCAGUCACUGUUAAAAUUUGAUAUAUCAGCCUGAUUUGAUUAUGUUAUAUAAAGCUCACUUUUUUUUUCACAUCCAUAAAAGUAAAAGUAUCAGGACCUUUUUGGCUUCUGAGAGCUUCAGUUUCUUAAAGCACUGUUUAUGAGCUUUUGUUUUAGCAGAUUUAAUGCAUUAAAUCUUUUCCUGUGGUGAUUCAGUGGCUGAUGAAGCUAGUGUUGGCGGUUUAGUUGUUCUGUGGAGUUUGAUGAUGGUUUGUGGGAAGAGAAAAUCCACUGGAAAAAACAAUGACUUUAAGAUCUGAACACAGUAAAGAUACUUGACUAGACCAAACAUCUGUGGAUGGGGUUAAACAGACAUGAAUGCAAAAUGUGCUAAAAUAGUUGUGAUGAGAGAUAAAGAUCAACCAAGAGCAGAGUGGAAAAUAAACUGAAGAAAUGACUGAAGUUAACAAGUUUAUUUUUGUGACUGUGUGACUGUCUUCGGUUUUUCUUCACAGCUUCUGUCACACUCAUCUUUUUUUUCACUCGUGGUCAGCAUCUUCCUAGAACUGAUUAACAGUAUGUUUUCAGCAGAAACACCCACAGACAUGAGAACAAUGUUUGUCACCUUUUAAAAUACAUUUUGAAGGUUUGUAUUCACUACAAGUUUUCUCUCCUGUUCAUCCUUUUCAUUUGGUAAUUGCAUUUAAGUGAUAAUUAUUUAUCUAUUUAUGUAUUAUUCACUUAUUUAUUGUGCAAUAAAAGGCCUAGUGUCUGAUGUAUUUUCUUGUUAAAAGUGUGUGCUAAAUUAAAAUUGUAAGUAUAAUAGAAUGAUGGCCAGUAGGAUAUUAUAUUUUGGGAUGUAGUAUAUUUGAUUAAUCAUGAGGUGAAUGCACGACUGUGCAAGUAAUAUUCACUCUUCAAGACUACAGUUGACGUUAGAUAUGUCACU
rnacentral:lncRNA from 1 species